rnacentral:rRNA from 1 species
UACGUAGGGCGCAAGCGUGUCCGGAAUUAUUGGGCGUAAAGAGCUCGUAGGCGGUCUGUCGCGUCGGAUGUGAAAGCCCGGGGCUCAACUCCGUGCCUGCAGUCGAUACGGGCAGACUAGAGUUCGGUAGGGGAGACUGGAAUUCCUGGUGUAGCGGUGAAAUGCGCAGAUAUCAGGAGGAACACCGGUGGCGAAGGCGGGUCUCUGGGCA